UCUAUAUCUGCUACUCUUAAUGUUGAGACUUAAGGCCUGGAGGUGCUGCAGCCAUCUUAUAACCAUUAAGGGGCAGCCUGUUCUAAGAAGCCAAAAUAAUAGAAAAGAACAGAGACUGGCGAGAAGAAGAGAAGCAGGGACAUGAAGUGACAGUUUGAAACGUUGCAUCCUGACACAUCUGAAGACAUCCCUCAUGUGCAGACUUUUCAGUAAUGUAAAGUGGAAAGUGGGCAAGGCCAAGGUCAUGCUACAGAAUGUGACUGAGCAACAGGGGGAUCACUUCAGCUGGGAUGGGAAAGGAAAGCCUCCAGGAGGAGUUGACAUCGAAUCACAGUUGAAUCCUAAGAAGUCAGUCUUGCAAAGAUCUAGGAAAGA
rnacentral:lncRNA from 10 species